UGGGGAAUAUUGCGCAAUGGGCGAAAGCCUGACGCAGCAACGCCGUGUGAGGGAUGAAGGCUUUCGGGUCGUAAACCUCUGUCAGAAGGGAAGAACGGGUGAGGGUCUAACAGGCCUUUAUUUUGACGGUACCUUCAGAGGAAGCACCGGCUAACUCCGUGCCAGCAGCCGCGGUAAUACGGAGGGUGCAAGCGUUAUUCGGAAUUACUGGGCGUAAAGCGCACGUAGGCGGCCUUGUAAGUCAGGGGUGAAAUCCCACGGCUCAACCGUGGAACUGCCCUUGAAACUGCGGGGCUUGAAUCCUGGAGAGGGUGGCGGAAUUCCUGGUGUAGGAGUGAAAUCCGUAGAUAUCAGGAGGAACACCGGUGGCGAAGACGGCCACCUGGACAGGCAUUGACGCUGAGGUGCGAAA
rnacentral:rRNA from 1 species